UGGGGAAUAUUGCACAAUGGGCGAAAGCCUGAUGCAGCAACGCCGCGUGAGUGAUGAAGGUCUUCGGAUUGUAAAGCUCUGUCUUUUGGGACGAUAAUGACGGUACCAAAGGAGGAAGCCACGGCUAACUACGUGCCAGCAGCCGCGGUAAUACGUAGGUGGCGAGCGUUGUCCGGAUUUACUGGGCGUAAAGGGUGCGUAGGCGGAUGUUUAAGUGAGAUGUGAAAUACCCGGGCUUAACUUGGGUGCUGCAUUUCAAACUGGAUAUCUAGAGUGCAGGAGAGGAGAAUGGAAUUCCUAGUGUAGCGGUGAAAUGCGUAGAGAUUAGGAAGAACACCAGUGGCGAAGGCGAUUCUCUGGACUGUAACUGACGCUGAGGCACGAAGGGNCGUUAGCAAACAGGAUUAGAUACCCUGGUAGUCCA
rnacentral:rRNA from 1 species